rnacentral:rRNA from 1 species
GAUAAACGCUGGCGGCGUGCAUGAGACAUGCAAGUCGAACGAAGGAUCGGGCUUGCUCGAUCCUUAGUGGCGGACGGCUGAGUAACGCGUAGGUGACCUACCCCGAAGUGGGGAAUAACUGCCCGAAAGGGUGGCUAAUACCGCAUGUGGUCGCACGUUCAUUCGUGCGAGUAAAGCCGCAAGGCGCUUCGGGGGGGGCCUGCGUCCGAUUAGCUCGUUGGUGGGGUAAUGGCUUACCAAGGCGACGAUCGGUAGGUGGUCUGAGAGGACGAUCACCCAGACUGGGACUGAGACACGGCCCAGACUCCUACGGGAGGCAGCAGUCGGGAAUGUUGCUCAAUGGGGGAAACCCUGAAGCAGCAACGCCGCGUGAGGGAUGAAGGCCUUCGGGUUGUAAACCUCUUUUGUCAGGGACGAUGAUGACGGUACCUGGCGAAUAAGCCACGGCUAACUACGUG